ACUGCGGCUCGAGCAUGCGCCACCUUGUGGUCAGUACGAGAUGGCAGUACGAGAUGGCCGAUAGAAAGGCAACCGGCUAAGUAUCCCAGCAAUUAUGCCAUGGUAUAGGAUGAUUAUGCUUGAAUUAUGGUUGCUGUAUUGGUGAACCACACGAUAGCAGACUAAAAAAGAUCGUUUCCUUUGUAAACAUUUCGUGUGCUGCAUAGAACAGAGCAGGCAACAUCCCAAU